rnacentral:lncRNA from 1 species
AGGGUUUAGGCCAAAUCGAGCAUAGGAUCAACAAUCGGAGCACGGAUUCCAAUUCUUGAUGGAAUUUUGAGGCUAGGGGUGCAUGAAUUGUGAAACUCUGGGCAAGAUCGGUUUUCCAGCCACCGUGCACAGCGGCGGCGGCAGUCCGGUGACCGGCCGGCGACACUCCGGUGAGACCCUGAGAGGCAGAAUUCUCUUCUCUUCGUGCUGAUCGUGGAAUCUUCGCCCAAAUUUCAAAUGGUACGCUUUAAGGCUCCGUUCCUAAUUCUUGGUGUAAAUUCCAAAUUUAUAAUAUU